rfam:Danio rerio chromosome 4, GRCz11 reference primary assembly.
GCCCGGCUAGCUCAGUCGGUAGAGCAUGAGACUCUUAAAGUCAGGGUCGUGGGUUCGAGCCCCACGUUGGGUG